rnacentral:rRNA from 1 species
GGGGACGUAACAAAGCGACCCAGGAAUGCUUGGGCGUGCCUCCACCCACGCCGGCGUCGGCGGGCGUAUUUCGCCUCACAGUAGGUCGCCGCGACCCGUUGCUUUUGGGGACGUCGAAGGCCCGGACGGAUUGGUACCCUAUCGGCUGGGGAUGCGGCUUCGGCUUCUCCUCUUGUCCGGUGGGCGAAACCGCCGGUGUCCUGGCUGCCCUGCGACGGUCGUAGAGACGAGCCCCUCCCAUUCGUGGGGGGCGGCUCUCGCGGCGUGCAAAAGGUCGGUGAUCCACCCGACCCGUCUUGAAACACGGACCAAGGAGUCUAACAUGUGUGCGAGUCAGUGGGCGCACUAAACCCAGAGGCGUAAUGAAAGUGACACGGGUUCGGCUGUCGCCUCGUGUGGCAGCCGGACUCAGGGCCGAUCCCUCACCGGUUGCCCUCGCCUCUCUCCCGCGUCUCGGUAAGCCGGGUGAGCUAUUUUCCCCGGCCGCUGCUGCGGGGCUCGGGGGGAGGCGGGGUGCGAUGGUGUCCGUCAAAAAGAGCCUGCUGUUGCAGGGGGGCGCAGGCCCGGGACUUGCCAGGACGCCGCGAGACUGUCACUUUGCUGUGAGGCUCCAGGGCCGAUCAGCGGGUCAUGCGUGCAGUCGGCAAGUACCAUGAGCAGACAUGUUGGGACCCGAAAGAUGGUGAACUAUGCCUGGCCAGGAUGAAGCCAGAGGAAACUCUGGUGGAGGUCCGUAGCGAUUCUGACGUGCAAAUCGAUCGUCGGAGCUGGGUAUAGGGGCGA